UACGUAGGGUCCGAGCGUUGUCCGGAAUUAUUGGGCGUAAAGGGCUCGUAGGCGGCCAACUAAGUCAGACGUGAAAUCCCUCGGCUUAACCGGGGAACUGCGUCUGAUACUGGAUGGCUUGAGAUUGGGAGAGGGAUGCGGAAUUCCAGGUGUAGCGGUGAAAUGCGUAGAUAUCUGGAGGAACACCGGUGGCGAAGGCGGCAUCCUGGACCAACACUGACGCUGAGGAGCGAAAGCCAGGGGAGCAAACGGG
rnacentral:rRNA from 1 species